AUGGAGCUCUGGCUGUACUGGGUUUUCCUUGUUGCUGUUUUGAGAGGUGUCCAGGUGGAGGUGCAGCUAGUGGAGUCUGGUGCAGGCUUGGUGCAGCCUGGCGGGUCCCUGAGACUGUCCUGUGCAGCCUCUGGCUUCACCUUCAGUGACUACUGGAAGAGCUGGAUCCGCCAGGCUCCAGGAAAGGGGCUGGAGUGGGUUGGGGAAAUUAACAAGGAUGGUGGUAGCACAUCCUACGCAGACUCUGUGAAGGGCCGAUUCACCAUCUCCAGAGACAACGCCAAGAACACGCUGUAUCUGCAAAUGAAGACACUGAAAAUCGAGGACACAGCCGUGUAUUUCUGUGCAAGAGCCACAGUAAGGGGUUGUCAGGGUGAGCCCGGACACAAACCUCCCUGCAAGGCUGCUCGGAACCAGCAGGGAGCAGUAAGGAUACAGAAGAAAGCAGAGUAG